UACGAAGGGUGCAAGCGUUACUCGGAAUUACUGGGCGUAAAGCGUGCGUAGGUGGUUAUUUAAGUCCGUUGUGAAAGCCCUGGGCUCAACCUGGGAACUGCAGUGGAUACUGGAUGACUAGAAUGUGGUAGAGGGUAGCGGAAUUCCUGGUGUAGCAGUGAAAUGCGUAGAGAUCAGGAGGAACAUCCAUGGCGAAGGCAGCUACCUGGACCAACAUUGACACUGAGGCACGAAAAGCGUGGGGGAGCAAAACAGGAUUAGAUACCCGCGUAGUCC
rnacentral:rRNA from 1 species